rnacentral:rRNA from 1 species
UACGAAGGGGGCUAGCGUUGCUCGGAAUCACUGGGCGUAAAGCGCACGUAGGCGGCUUUUUAAGUCAGGGGUGAAAUCCUGGAGCUCAACUCCAGAACUGCCUUUGAUACUGAGAAGCUUGAGUCCGGGAGAGGUGAGUGGAACUGCGAGUGUAGAGGUGAAAUUCGUAGAUAUUAGCAGGAACACCGGUGGCGAAGGCGGCUAUCUGGACGACAACUGACGCUGAGGCGCGAAAGCGUGGGGAUCAAACAGG